rnacentral:rRNA from 1 species
GACGAACGCUGGCGGCGUGCUUAACACAUGCAAGUCGAACGGAAAGGCCCUGCGUUUGUUCGGUGCUCGAGUGGCGAACGGGUGAGUAACACGUGAGUGACCUGCCCUUGACUUCGGGAUAACUUUAGGAAACUGGGUCUAAUACCGGAUAUGAGCUUCUGUUGUAUGGUGUGGUUGGGAAAGUUUCGGCGGUUGGGGAUGGUCUCGGGGUUUAUCGGCGUGUUGGUGGGGUUGUGGCGUCACGGGGCUUCGAGGGAUCGCCGCCCUGCGAGGGUGACCGGCCACAGGGGGACUGAGAUAGGGCACAGACUCAUACGGGGGGCAUGAGUGGAAAAUUGUGCAAAAUGGGCGGGAGGGUGAUGGAGAAACGCCGCGUGCGGGAUGACGGCUUUCGGGGUAUAAACCGCUUGCGACUGAGAAGGAGCGUGAGUGACGGUAAUGGGUGAAGAAGCACCGGCUAACUACGUG